rnacentral:misc_RNA from 1 species
GGUCCAGUGCCCCCACUCUGUCUGGGGAGGCCGAGCAGCCCCCCCUCCACUAUCCCCGCCAAAGGCCAGCCCGCUUCUCGUGGUGACAGAGUCAUGCACCGACGACGUAGGAGGGAGGUCGGAGUGAGUCACCGCCACUGCUGUCGGCGGUCAGGUCCUGGAUGGCGCUGCGGUGGAGGCGCCUGCAACAGUGAGCACGCUUGUGCCAUCCGUGUGGUGGGUGGAGCUCCGGCGUGACUCUGGCGUGCUCCCCACCCGACCCUCACACUGCCUUGCUGGUGGGGGAGCCUGGGCCACCGCGGGCGGGAUGCGGCGGGUGGGGACGGGCAUGGUGGUGGGGGGGCGGCUGUGGGGCGGCCUGCGGGGUCAGGGGCGAGUAGAUUGUGAGGCGCGGGGCCCUUGCCGUGAUGCGUGCCUGCUGCUGCUUUUCGCGAGGCGAUGGGGCCUGCGGGCAGGGCUGUGUCGAGCGUGGGCUGGGUCAUGCUCUGUGGCAGAGGGGAACACAGGGGAACUAGAAGAUCGCUUUUGCCUUGUCUUUUUUUAUAUAUUUCCCUCUUCAUCAUCUUCAUCGGAUAGUGUGACCUCCGUUCGCAGCGGUGUCUGCGUGCGCACAUCACUCCUGUUCUCCCUGCUGAAUUGCUUAAUUUGCUCUGUUUCUCUUUCUAUGGCUUUGCUUUUUGUAGCCCCGAAGAGGGGUGUUCGACGAUCAGCUGG